UGCAACUUCUACCUGUAUGUAAAAUAGAUUUUUAUAAACGAAUUUCUAUCUAUGACAUGUUUUAGUAUUCAAGUAUAUUCAGCCUCUUACAAGCCUUUUCAUGUAUAUUUGUUACUAAAAUAUAUGAUAAGUCCAAGUUCCAUCAACCUGAAAAUGUAUUCCUAAAUGUACAUGAGCAUUUGAUUUUUAUUUAUAUAAUCACCACCAUUGCCAAAUUGAAUGCUGUAUGAUGUGAUAAUUUCUCUGCUUUCUUGUAAAUUUAACAUUAAUCGUUUUUACACUUUUAGAAUCAAAAGCCCAAAAUUGGGAUCAUAUAAUUUUUAUUUUUUCAAGAUCCUCAAUAAGGGACAUAGAAGGUGUAAUAAUGUCAUUACCACAAUGGCAAACAGGGAUAUUGUAUUAUCAGCAAAUAAUCUAAUGUUAAUUUAUAUGCCAUCAGCAAUAUUAUUAGUAUAUAUCAAAAAACAAAAAAGGGUCAAGCACUGAUACUAACCCUUGUGGUAUCCCAGAUUUAUUAAUUUCAAUCUCAAAACCACUUUACAAUGGUAUAAAGAGACCAUGUAAUUCAUAAACAUUUGAGAUUUUCUAAUUCAAUAACAAUUUUCCUAGCAUGUAUAUAGUUUUGUAAGCUAGUAGAUGAAAAAUCUUCUAAAUUUACUCUUUGUUAAUUUCUAUCGGUAAGAUAAGCUUCAAUCCACCCCAGAAUAUUUGCACUAAAAAGUAAUUUAUAACAUGCUAAAAUAUUUAUGUACAUGUAUAUGGUAUUCAAAAUAAGUUAUAACUACUAAACAGGGUUUGUAAUUGAUUAUGAUUGUACAUAUGUAUUUAAAAUAAACUUUAAUGCAACCAUGUUUGUUUUCCUUCUCCUCAAAAGAAUGAAAAUUGAGUAAUUUUACAUACAAUAAAAUUAAUUAUAGCUACUAUCAAUCAUAAAACAAACCCUUUUUAAUUAUUAAAAUUUACUACUAUUACAUGUAUUAAUUUUUUUUUAAAUUUUAAACAUAAUUUUAAAAAAUUGCCUGUUAUUUUUUUUUAUAUUUAAUUAAACAUUUACUUAAGGUCAAUAAUUGAACAGACUAUAGUUCACCUGUAAUUAAUUUCCUUUGUUCCUUGACACCCAUAAAAAAAUUCAGAAUUUUAGGUAAGUGGGAAGACACCUUCCUGAUUUCCAAUCCAAUUGGAUGCUUACCUGCUAUACUUGUUUAUUGAUAGGUAAAGCUAUGAAUUGAACAUAUUUUAUUGAAUAAAUCAAAAGGAUAAGACACAAGUUCUAAAACUUAGAUAGUCUUCUCCUAGUAAUGAAAUUUUAUAAAUAUUGCCAUACAUUGAAUAUAUUGAAAAAUUGAAUACACAUAAAUAUACAUGAAUAAACAAUCUACUGCAUAUAUAAUAUCACCUUAUAAAUUCAAACAUUUUUUGAAAAACAACCACAUUCACUCAAAAUUUGUAUCGUCUUGAAAAUUUCAGUGUUUUGUAUAUUUGUCAACGAAUCAUCCCCCCAUAAUAAUAAAUGUGCAUCUAUAAUGUGUACAUAACGUAAUGUCAAUAGCUUAUUCAUUAGAGAAUUCCGAGGUCUUGUAUACUUUUUACAGACAAAAAACAAAUGGUAUGCAUCUUCUGAUAAGCCACACGAACAGUUUGGACUGGCUAUUAAGUUACAGCGGAAUAAGUCAGAAUUUAAAAUACAGUUGUGUCUCAAACGUGUAUGUGUUAUGUUUAAAAAUCUUUUAAAGCUAUGUAUAUAUCAACAUAUAUUACAUUAUAAAUUCUUUUAUUGUCAAUUCAUGUGUUCUAUAUUUGGAAGGUGGGAAAGGCUAUUAAUGGGCAUUUUGUCACCAAUGUUACCAGUAACCAUUGUAACAAUUAAGUCACAAAUAUAUUAAAUUGUAUUCAAUCAUAAAAAAUAAAUAUUGUCACCAGUUACCUGGUUACAGCUGUCUGAAAACCCCAUAGAAAGUUUAACAUUUAGCAUUGUAACCAAUGUUACUGGUUAUAAAUGGAGUGGGGUAAAAGUCAGGACUAAUUUUCCUCUUCAAAUACAUGAAGUUCGUAAAGGUAGUCGAAUUCAUCUUAUAAAUAUUUAUUUUUAAACCGUUGUAGUAACUUCCCACAGGUAGUAGCUAGAGUUUACCUGUUUGCCUAAUCUCAGCGAGAUUCGUCAAGACUGACAAAUUUGGACGGACGUCACUGGUCUGAGAUUCGGUAGAGACGUCCGUCAAAAAUGAAUCUCGUUGAGAUUUCAAGUACUGUUAGUGUUAACCGGGAGUUCAUUUUCCCGCACAGCAUCGAUAAUGGUUUUCAGAGCACGUUCAAUACCAUGCCGAAUCCUAGACACUUCGUUGUUAUCAGGAAGCUUAACUUUGUUAUCCAGAUCAAUCUACCUAAACUGACAUCAACAACAAGCGAGAAUCUUUGUUUACUUAACCACUGCAUGAAGACUUAAAGGUUUUAAAUAAAAAAAAAUUAAAA